UGUCAUUGAGGUUCAUCUUAUCUGGUGAAAGGAUUUUUUUCAGCUGGGUGCUUUCCCCCUCCAGCAUUCAUCGUUUGAGUUUUUUGCAGCCGUACCCUUUACCCACCCCCUCCAAAAAAAAAAAGCCUAAAGAAAUCACUAGUCA
rfam:Tupaia chinensis contig110155, whole genome shotgun sequence.